UAGCUCAGUUGGUAGAGCGGAGGACUGUAGAGUCAGUGGGUAUCCUUAGGUCGCUGGUUCGAAUCCGAC
rfam:Caenorhabditis briggsae complete genome, chrIV